rnacentral:misc_RNA from 1 species
UCAUAGGGGGAGCCAGACCAAACCCCAAGCCACCCGACGACGGGCCUCCGCUUCGCUCGUCAACUUGGUCGCCUUCUUCAGAAUUUGGAUCACAAACUCAACAGAAGGCAUCGAUCUUACCCCUGGUCGCCGAGGAUUCUGGCUGGAACAUAGGCUAGGGCUGUUCGCAUGGCUUCUUGUCGCUGUCCGCCAAUUGCUUCAACUGGAAGUUGUUGACAGCAGCAUGGAGAUGACCCUGAUGAGCCUUGAGGAAGGAGACCUCGGUGGACAGGCCAGUCACCUUGUCCUCCAUGUCAAUCAGUCAGCUGGUGUCGCUGGUGAUCUUGUCGGUAGCAUAGUUGGUGGCACCGGUGGAGAAAAUGAUGGUGGCUAGGUGGCUUAGGGAAUGGUGGUGGCGACUGGGAG